GACGAACGCUGGCGGCGUGCUUAACACAUGCCAGUCGAACGGAAAGGCCCUGCUUUUGUGGGGUGCUCGAGUGGCGAACGGGUGAGUAACACGUGAGUAACCUGCCCUUGACUUUGGGAUAACUUCAGGAAACUGGGGCUAAUACCGGAUAGGAGCUCCUGCUGCAUGGUGGGGGUUGGAAAGUUUCGGCGGUUGGGGAUGGACUCGCGGCUUAUCAGCUUGUUGGUGGGGUAGUGGCUUACCAAGGCUUUGACGGGUAGCCGGCCUGAGAGGGUGACCGGCCACAUUGGGACUGAGAUACGGCCCAGACUCCUACGGGAGGCAGCAGUGGGGAAUAUUGCACAAUGGGCGGAAGCCUGAUGCAGCAACGCCGCGUGCGGGAUGACGGCCUUCGGGUGGUAAACCGCCUUCGCCUGUGACGAAGCGUGAGUGACGGUAAUGGGUAAAGAAGCACCGGCUAACUACGU
rnacentral:rRNA from 1 species